AAGAACCCGGCCAGGUGAGCAACGAUGAUGGAGUCCGACUCGCUUCACUUCCUCUACCCUAACAUUAGAACCCGAGGGGCACGUCUGCCCUCUUCUUCCCUGCCCCAGUAAAUGAGAAUUCUUCGCAAGGGUUUCCUUGACGUUCUUUCCUGCUCUCUUCAGCUCGUCAAUGUGGGAGGGAGGGACAUAGGUCGUAGUAUAACUCCUUUUGCUUCUUGCGGACCUCUCACAUUUAUUUCUGGGAACCUUGAGGUCUGCUAUACAACGUCGUCCCUGGCACCCACAUCUUUCGACCAAGAACCAAAUCAGACCAAAAGGGAAUCUCUAGUUUCUCAUAACCUAGAGGAAGAAGUGUAUGCUCAACAUAUCAGGAGAGUGAUUUUGAAAGUUAAGAAUGGUACCGUUGAAGAUGUUGUUCAAUCUCUUAAGGGUGAUGGAUUUUGUUGUGAAAUUCAACUUACAGCUAACCUUGUGGACAGUCUGCUGCAAAAAUUUGGAGAUGAUUGGAAAUCUGCUUUGGGUUUCUAUGAGUGGGCUAGUUCACACAAGGGAUACAAACAUACACGGUUUGGACAUGAUAGGAUGGUGGACUUGCUGGGAAAAAUGAGGCAAAUGGAUCGAAUGUGGGACUUGGUGCACAAAAUGCAUAGCGAAGGCUUCAUAACACUGGACACAAUUGCAAAAGUCAUGAGAAGACUUGCAGGGUCCAGGAGAUGGAGAGAUGUUGUUGAGUUUUUUGACGAGUUAGAAUAUAUGGGUUUUGUUAAGGAUACGGAGACCAUGAACCUUCUACUUGAUACUCUUUGCAAAGAAAAAAAAGUUGAAGUUGCUCAUGUAGCUUUUUUUGAGCUCAAGAAUCACAUAUCUCCAAAUGCUCAUACUUUUAAUAUUUUUGUCCAUGGCUGGUGUAAUGCUCAUAGAGUUGAUGAGGCAUUGUGGACUUUCCAAGAGAUGAAAGACUUGGGAUUCAAACCUUCAGUCAUUACAUACUCAAUUAUUAUUCAAGCUUACUGUAACCAAUGUAAUGUCGGAAAGGCUUAUGAACUUCUUGAUAAAAUGGUUGCUGAUGGUUGCCUUCCAAAUAUAGUCACUUACACUAUUCUUAUGAAUUCACUUGCUAAGGCACAAAAAUUUGAUGAGGCCUUGAGUAUAUUUGAGAAAGUGAAAUCUGCUGGUUGCAUACCUGACACAUUAUUCUACAACUCUCUUAUCAACAUUCUAGGGAGAGCAGGUCGACUUCCAGAAGCCUUUCAUAUCUUUGAGAAGGAGAUGAAAAUGAAUGGUGUGAAUUGUAGUAUAUCCACAUAUAAUACAAUGAUCUCAAUUUCGUGUCUUCAUAAACAAUGGCAAAGUGCUCUGAAUGUCUUGGAGAAAAUGAAAAGUUCAUCUUGUAAGCCUGAUCUUCAGACAUACAGGCCACUACUUAAGUUAUGCUUUAGUGAGGGAGAACUGGAUGUCCGGAUUCACAGCUUGCUGAAUGACAUGGCUGAUAAAUAUCAUCUCAGUUUUGAUCUUGAUACUUACACAACUUUGAUCCAUGGCCUAUGUAGUGUAGGUGAUAUUGGAUGGGCCACUCUCCUCUUUGAUGAGAUGAUAGAUCGAGAGAUUCUGCCUAGGAGACAAACAUGCAAGAUGCUUUUGCAAGAAGUUGAACAAAGAAACAUGUAUGAUUAUGUAGAGAAGAUAAGAAUGUUGACAAAGCAACUAUAAAGCUCACAUUAGUUUAUCUAUAUCUAUUUAAUUUGUGUAGACAGAGGACCUUUUUUGACAUAGAAAACAAAGUUGAUACAGAGGAUACAAUUGUAUAUGGCAAUGACUUGCACAAGAUUAUUGAGGGAAACCAGUAUACCAAACAAGGCUGCUCCAUUUAUUAUGGGCAUCAGAGGGUUUGCAGUAGGUGGUGGCAAUGUGGCAAUGCAAAAGGUGCCUAAAGGUGUUGCAAUUGCUGCUCCUAAAGCUUCUGCAGCAAAGAAAGAACUAAAAAGUACCACUGUUCUUGGAGCCAGUAUCCUCAAGGAUGAUGCAGAUCCUAAGAUAAAGCCAGAUACUGAGUUCCCAAACUGGCUGUGGCUUUUGCUUAACAAACUUCCUCCAUUGGCUUUUCAAAGCCUUAAACAUUUUGUUAAGCUGCAUAACAGUGCAUGUAUUAGUGAAAACAAUAGUAUCAGAGUUAAAAUUGAUGGUUAUGCUUAGUUGGAGUGAAUAAAAAUUCUAUUUUCUGGUCCAAUGCUGCAUGCACUCGUGUUGUUUUACUCA